rnacentral:rRNA from 1 species
ACUCCUACGGGAGGCAGCAGUGGGGAAUAUUGCACAAUGGGCGCAAGCCUGAUGCAGCCAUGCCGCGUGUAUGAAGAAGGCCUUCGGGUUGUAAAGUACUUUUCAGCAGUGAGGAAGGUGGGUAUGUUAAUAGCAUAUUCAUUUGACGUUAGCUGCAGAAGAAGCACCGGCUAACUCCGUGCCAGCAGCCGCGGUAAUACGGAGGGUGCGAGCGUUAAUCGGAAUUACUGGGCGUAAAGCGCAUGCAGGUGGUUUGUUAAGUCAGAUGUGAAAGCCCGGGGCUCAACCUCGGAAUUGCAUUUGAAACUGGCAAACUAGAGUACUGUAGAGGGGGGUAGAAUUUCAGGUGUAGCGGUGAAAUGCGUAGAGAUCUGAAGGAAUACCGGUGGCGAAGGCGGCCCCCUGGACAGAUACUGACACUCAGAUGCGAAAGCGUGGGGAGCAAACAGGAUUAGAUACCCUUGUAGGCUCUGC